rnacentral:rRNA from 1 species
AUUGAACGCUGGCGGCAGGCCUAACACAUGCAAGUCGAGCGAGCGGCGGACGGGUGAGUAAUGUAUGGGGACUGCCCGAUAGAGGGGGAUAACUACUGGAAAUGGUAGCUAAUACCGCAUACUAUCGGAUAACCAAUAUGGGAUUCGCUAGUAGGUGAGGUAAUGGGUCACCUCGGCGACGAUCCCUAGCUGGUUUGAGAGGACGACCAGCCACACUGGGACUGGGACACGGCCCAGACUCCUACGGAGGCAGCAGUGGGGUAUUUUGGACAAUGGGGGAAACUCUGAGACAGCCAGCCCGCGUGUAUGAUGAAGGCCUUCGGGUUGUAAAGUACUUUUGGCAGAGAAGCGGUAUCUGCAGAAUAAGCACCGGCUAACUACGUGCCAGCAGCCGCGGUAAUUC